GACGUAGGGCGCGAGCGUUGUCCGGAUUUAUUGGGCGUAAAGAGCUCGUAGGCGGCUCGUUGCGUCGGCUGUGAAAUCUCGGAGCUUAACUCCGAAACUGCAUUCGAUACUGCCGUGCUUGAGGACUGGAGAGGAGACUGGAAUUUACGGUGUAGCGGUGAAAUGCGUAGAUAUCGUAAGGAAGACCAGUGGCGAAGGCGGGUCUCUGGACAGUUCCUGACGCUGAGGCACGAAGGUCAGGGGAGCAAACGGG
rnacentral:rRNA from 1 species